rnacentral:rRNA from 17 species
GGCUCAGAACGAACGCUGGCGGCAUGCCUAAUACAUGCAAGUCGAACGAGAUCUUCGGAUCUAGUGGCGCACGGGUGCGUAACGCGUGGGAAUCUGCCCUUGGGUUCGGAAUAACAGUGAGAAAUUACUGCUAAUACCGGAUGAUGUCUUCGGACCAAAGAUUUAUCGCCCAAGGAUGAGCCCGCGUAGGAUUAGCUAGUUGGUGGGGUAAUGGCCUACC